UUAUCCAUAGGAUAUACAAUGGUUUAUUUAGAUACUAAUUAUCUCCAGCCAAAAAUAGAAGGAGGGGGAGACUGACCCUUCAUGGUCUGGCCAUGGUUAUAUAAACACCAACACAUAGGGCAUAUGUUGAAAAUACAAACUACAAGAACAAACAUACGUACAAGAAAUAAGUAACAAGCCACUUCUUAUGGGACUUACCGAGAGCAACACAAGAGCUCUAUGCUUGGUAGCUCUUGUGAUGAUGUCUACUCUAUUCUCAUGUCAUGCAGGUACAACCAUUUCUCUAUUUAAUCAAUUUUCCUGCUUGUUUUGGGAUUUGUUUAUGCGCACUUUGUGUAAGCGCACAUACCUUUGCAUAUGUAAUUCAAACUAACCCAAGUAACUUAAGUAUUUUAUAUAUUCUAACUUUGCUAUAUUUUUUGUGCGUAGAUCCAAAACCAACCCCCCUUCCCUACGUGUGUAUCAAAUUUAAAAGUUGUGAAGGAGACACUUUAUCCGACCAGCCAUGCGUUGAUCAUUGCGCAUUUUUUGAAUUCAAAAAAGGCCACUGCACACCGGACCAUGGUGGCCUUUGUUGCUACUAUAAUUGAACGUCUAACGAAUGAUGGAUACAAUGUUUUAUAAUGUGCUAAAAAGGUGUUGGGUUAAGGCAGGUUCAAUGUCCAUGUGCUCAAAACAUAAUAAAGUAUUGAUCAACUUGAUUGUGAAUAGUUCUUCAAAAUACUGCAAUUU
rnacentral:lncRNA from 1 species